UUUCUCUCUUUUCCGCUCCUGCCUCUCUUCUCUUCUCUUUUAUGUUCAAUCGAUUAGCCGAGUAACAGAAACCUCUCUUCUUUUCUCUAUCAUCUUCAAUCAUAGAUCUGUGGUUUGAAGUACUGAAGAACUUUGAAGAAUUUCUGCCAACUUAGAAGGUAUAAUUUUAGGGUUUUAUGACAAGUUCAUACAGGGGAGAAGUUUGCAGAGUUUGUGGUCGAAAUGUGAGAAUUUGGUGGAAUUUCAUGGGAGUAAAUCAGAUUAAUGAAAGGGGAUCUGAAGCUGUUGAUCAGAUGGGUUUUUGAUGGCCGUGCUUGAAGAAAUAGAAGCUCGAGAUGAACAUGGAAGUUGAGUUACUUGAGUUGUUGUAUUUGAACUCGAGAGAACAUCUCUAAUUCUGCUUUGUCCGUACAACAACAACAUUUCAUUGUCCUCAGCAAGUGUUUACAAAGUUUCCUGAACUGACAAAAACAAGAAGGAUUCAGCUUGUUCUCUGUUAAUCGAUUGUGAGGCAGUAAUCUGAGGAUUUGAAGAGAUUUCAUAUAGCAAGAAGAGCUGAGAAAGAGCAACUUUGGUUGUUCUCUGUGUAUGUACAGUAAGGACAAUGAUUCAGCUAACCAUCUUGUGCUGACGCUGUAAUGGAGUUUGUGCUCGAGAUUACAAUCCCCAUUGUCAAGAGAGUUAAGGGAAGAAGUAUGGGAAGGUGAUUAUGGAGCUGUGUUUUUCAAGAGGCCUGUAGACUUUGUGCAGGUAUGAGAGAAGAGAAGGAUGGAACUUAAUGGGAUCGUUGCUGUCUAACCAUGGUCUUGGCGGUUGUCGACAUAAAAGUAGAAGUAGCUGAGUUAUGGUGGCUUUGCAGAGACGGAAUGGUGGUGAAGUUGAAUUUUUACAGACAUCAAGAAGAAGAGAUGAUGCUCUUGGUCAUUGGCAGUAAGUGGUGAAGGGUUAUAGUAAGAAGAUGGACAGGAUUUUGAUGUCAAGAUACAUAGUUUGGAGCUGAGUUUCCAGCGAGAAGAUAGGGUGAUAUUUGUUGUUGCUGUCAUGAAUGUAUGUGAGCUGUGAUUGUCAUCUCAACUGGAGGAACCAAAAUAUUGAUGCUGCUGAGCUAUGGAGGAGGUUCAAAUUGGUUCGAACCUGAAGAUGGGACUGGAAUGAGGCUGUGUUGCUGCCAAGACAAACCUAGUCUUGUAGUUUUUCUAUGGAAAUAUUGGAGUAUGGUGGGUAAUUAGGAAGCAAGGACGAAGGGAAGAAACAACCAGUCGAUCCAGGUUUAGUGCAGUGGUUAACCCUGGCUCAAGGCUCAGUUCAGGAGUUGUCUGGCAUUGGCUAGGAUCAGACUUAGAAAGCCACAGGAUAUGGAGACUUGGCCGCAAAUUUAUCCUAGUUUUGAAAGGAGUUUAUUGCCGUGAAAACUGCUCAUAAGUGAUGUCUUUGCCGCUGCUUAUUGAGAUGACUGACUGUGAUUGUCUUAGAGUUUAUAUUGAGUAAGGAAAGUGAGUGUGUUUAGGUUACAAAAGUGGAGGGACAUAAAAUCUAUAAGAGGAGGCACAGGAACAGAGAAGACCUACCUCUUCCUGACCAGUUUUGUGCUUGCAGAUUGUUCAGAGAAUGGAAACCGCUGCUAAGACAGCUGGGGAGAAUGCAUAACGUUGCUGAGUGGUGGAGUUAGCCCUCAUCAGCUUAGUGAUUCCUUCAAAUUUUGCUCUCUUAGUUCGUUUUUAAUAUUCAUUUUAUGCCGUUCAUUUUAUGGUUCCUUACAAGUUCAGGUGCCGAAUGGUGGAGUCAGCACUCAUCAGCUUGGGAUGUCGAUACCUUUGCUGAGUUGGAUGUCAUUUAUUUCCAGACCGUGGUGCCGUGUGACCGCAGUAAUUGAUAGUGUUGGUGCUGAAACAAGGCAUGUCAUUGUCAGGACACCGUUGGUGGUCGAAACGGCCAAUCGAGGCAGGUUUUCAGUUUGAUUUUGCAUUUGACUGGAUGAAUUUGGAGUAUCAGCAAUGCCCAACGAUUGCUCUUCCCUCACGUACUCUUUUGAGGCGAAGUGUUCAGAUUUGAUACAAAAACAGUAGCAAGAGAAGGCAAAGAUCGUUAUGUGAGUCUGUUUUUGUUAUAUCUUAGAUUUCAUAUGCUAUAUCUUUUUUUUAUCCCCCAAUAAUUGCUCAAACC